GUUCUUGCUUUGACAGCACAUACUGUAAAACUAGAGUGAUACAGAGAAGAUUAGCCCAGUUCCUGCGCAAGGAUAACACGCAAAUUCGUGAAGCAUUCCAUAUUUUU